rnacentral:rRNA from 1 species
UGGGGGAUAUUGCACAAUGGGCGAAAGCCUGAUGCAGCGACGCCGCGUGGGGGAUGAAGGCCUUCGGGUUGUAAACUUCUUUUGCUCUGAACAAGGCAUGCCUUUGGGGUGUGUUGAGUGUAGGGGUUGAUUAGCGCCGGCUAACUACGUGCCAGCAGCCGCGGUAAUACGUAGGGCGCGAGCGUUGUCCGGAAUUAUUGGGCGUAAAGGGCUUGUAGGUGGCUGGUUGCGUCUGUCGUGAAAGCUCAUGGCUUAACUGUGGGUUUGCGGUGGGUACGGGCUGGCUUGAGUGGAGUAGGGGGGGCUGGAAUUCCUGGUGUAGCGGUGGAAUGCGUAGAUAUCAGGAGGAAUACCGGUGGCGAAGGCGACUUACUGGACUUAAACUGACGCUCAGGCACGAAAGCGUGGGGAGCAAACAGG